CACACACUAACCAGAGAGCCAGAGACAAAGGUUUAUUUAUUUGAGAAGUAAUUCCAGUUAGCAGGAGUGAGGGGUAUGGGGAGUGGAACACGGGAGGUGGGAAAAUCAAUAUGAGACGCGUCAUCAAUUUGGUGCUGCCCGUGGUGACUGGAGCUUGAUUUCACCAGGACCUUCUCAGGAGCCUUAUGAAAUGUAUCUCAGAACUGUCUGCCUGGAAGGACAGAGGUGAAGCAUUUUUCCAUUGGCUCCUGCCCCCAUGGUCCAAGUUGACUUUUUGGCAUUAACUCCCUGGUACUGAAAUGGAGCAGGACCCUAGGGUCCUUGCCUCCCAUGUCCUCAGCCUGCCUUUUGUCUGUGGAAAAGCUUUGGCCGAAGAAUAAGUUUAAUCAGAGAAAUGAGAAAUUACAGAGGCAAAGGAAAACAGUCCAGCAAGACUAAAUGAUAAUAGUUUAGUCACUAAGCAAACUCAAGGACCUUUAGUUCCUCCUCAAGGGCUGUAGAUAAUAUUCUGAGCCAUAUCCUCUGAGCUGUCUUAUAGAUACUGAAAGCCCCACCAGGUGGAAGAAGUUAACUACAUGAUGACCAGGCUGUAGCCACGACACGGCUACAUGACAUGACAGCCAAGCUGCCACAAUUCUGAGAACUGGCCUCAAGGAAAUGGGAACAAACCGACCCUGGAACUGAAGAUUAACUGUACUUAAAACAGUCAAGAUGAUGCUGGUCAGACCACCGAUGAACAAUUUCAAGAUGCCUGUCAGAGCUGCCUGUGCUGUUUCUACAUGUAGCCCCCUCCCUCCAUCUAUAAAAGCUCUUGCCCACUGAUUGUCGGUUGGGGGGAGUUGGCCCUCCCCCAUCCCAGUUGCUGGCCUUUGAAGUAAAGCAAACUUUCCGUUCCACCAGGCUUGCCUCUUCAUUGGCUUUUGAGCGGUGAGCAGCCGGACCCCACUUUCAGUUACAGUACUUUUGGGUUGUUCCCAGCUGUGAUAGCCAGCUCCGAGACGGCCCCCAAUGAUUCUCGCGCGUGCAUUCACGGCUCUGUGUGGGGUCAGCGCCCUCUAGCACUUGUGGACACAGCACCAUGUACUGGCCAUCCAUCUGGUGCAUCCACCACAUCCUGGAGGACAGCACACUUGUGCCGCAGGAUGUUAACUCCUUCUUAGGUGCCUUCGAUAAGCCUCUAACGAGCCAUCCUACUGUUCUCUGAGUCCAGAUGCUUCCAGAUGAUGGAGUAUCUGGUAAGUAGAGACACUUGCCCAGAAAUAUUUGAUUCUGUCUGGAACACAACUCAGAAGGAUAAUAAGCGUAGGGUUUUGAACCGAGAAGACAUCUCAUCAAGUACCAUAUUUCUGACAUGUGGUUAUUCAAAGAUCCUCUACAUCCACUGUUUCUCAGCUUCUUUGAUUCUCAGUGGAGCUUGAAAAGAAAAUCCACCCCAUCUCACCACGUUUUACAGCAUGUCAGUGUCACCAUAUUAUUCGCUAUGUUUCUUCUCCCGUCUUUCUUUCAAAACAGCAGUCACAGGACGAGUAGCCUGUACAUGUGUCAUAAAUUCUUUCUCCCUCCUGUCGAUUUCUUGGCAAGCGUCUGAUUCCAUUAUGACAUGGAGAAUCAACUUCGGGCCGCAGGAGGCUCACUGAGUUGCUGUAAUGCCGGGGCAUUUAUUCAUCAUCCUCUCCCAUGCUGCUUCCAGCCUUGUCACUCAGCGCAACAAAUACUUAAUGGAUCCCAACUCCUGCGAGGCUUCGCAUUCCACAACCAGGAGACUCUGCAGUGGGUCUGCUCUUUCCCGCUUUCGUGAAAAAAACUGGCAGAGGGAUAAUCGGAAAGUUUUAUUCACCCAUCUCCUUCUUCUCAUCCGGAAGGGCUUCCAGACACACAUGACUUAUUUAUAUUCUCACUCUGAGAGAAGCUUGCUCCACGAAUGCCUGCUGGGUGAUUGAAAUGACGGUCUUCAGAAUUUUUCCACUUCCUGUCAUUACGUGUUCUGUUGUCAACAGUGGCAUUCCUGAAGGAUAUACUGCUCUUGCGAGCACUUGCUGAGGUUUUCCAAGGGUUGCAGGAGCCAUUUUGACUUUGUUUACCGUGGCUGUCUCUUCUGGUUACUCAACAUGGUGAUGUGCUAGAUGGUACCCAGCGGUGCUCAGGAAGAGCCCUUGUGGACAGAGAAUGAUGGAAACAUUGUGAUAGGGAAGAACCUUUGUAUUCUAUUACAAGUUCAUCACUAAAGGGAUGUUGCCUAUAAGCUUAAAUUAUACAUAAUGGCCCACCUCUGGGAACCCUGCCUCCCAGGUAAUGAGCAUUAAGCUAAAAUACCUCUGUUUAGCUCACAAGAAACACGCUGACCAAGCCCACCUGUGAAUGACUGCAAGAAGGAAGAAAUGAACACAUCCCCUCCAGAGGCUGACCGGAACCAGGAAAUGUUUGACUUUCCUCCCUCCUCUUUUAGUAUAAAAGAAGCCUGAAUUCUAACUCAGGCAAGAUGGUUCUUUGGGACACGAGUCCACGGUCUGCUGGCUUUCUGGAUAAAGUUGCUACUCCUUUGCCCCAACAAUUUGUCUCUCAAGUUAUUGGCCGGUGUGUAGUGAGCAGCACGUUUGGACUCGGUAACAACAGCUUUCUGCGCACUUUUCUCCAUGGUUUUUCUAUUCUUUUUUUCUUUAUUGCAGCUAUGACGGUUUGCCAGAGACAGAGGUCAGUGUAGCAGAGGGAUGAGCACACAGGCUCUUGAGUGAGACAGCCCUGAGUUCAAAUCCUGGAUCCCCAACUGUAGUCGAGAAGAUCUUUGCUUCUCAUUCUUUACUCACGCCCAGUAUCAGAAUUAGAAAUUGUCGCCCUUUUGGCAUGUGACUUUGCAGCCCCUCCCGCUAGAGUGGGCAGAGUACGUGGGAUGUGGAGGCCUGGUCCAGCCGAGGGCUUCAGAGGUGCCGUCUGUCCUGCCUACGUGUCCUCCAUCUACCCUGAGAAGAAUAUGCCCUGGGAGACUGUCGCAUCCCAGAACGAUGCAGAUGGACCCCACCUGAACCCAUCCUGCAGCCUGGAGAUAAUCCCAGCCAACCCAGAGAACUAGGGAAGCAGUGGCUGAGGACCCAGCUACACACAUUUCUUCAGCUUCCAGAUGGCCUGUGACAGGAGGGAACAACGAUGGGGGGUCCCACAUGGACCCAUCUCUCAACUGUAAAAUAGAAACACACCAGCGAAGCCGACUUGAAAAGGUUUACGAAGGAACCAGGCUUACUGGAGCAUCUCCUCAGCUCUCAAGUGGUACCCAGCGGUAAGAUGUGGAUCUGAGUCCCCACCACCAGCAGGUCAGUUUCCCACAGGUGUCCAAGUGGCAGGUCUUGAAAUCAUCUUGUAGCUGCGAGAACCCAAGUCACCUCCUCUUCCAUGUCGUUUUGUGAUUACUGCUUGAGAGAGACAAAAGAGAGAGACUGACAGAUGGGAGUGUGGGGACGAGAGAGACAGAGAAAGAGAGAGAGAGAGAAUGCACUAAGGAAGGACUCUCAAGACAAUUAAAGAAUUCCAAGUCCAAUUUUUGUCUCUAGGGGUUCUCAUUUUGCAAGCUGCCACAAGGAUGUGGGUGUUCACGUGCAAACACAAUUCUCCAUAAUCCUGCAGCACCUGGGCCCAGUGACAGACUGAGUCUGGGGGACAUGUCACCCAUUUGUUCUUCUGACCAGGCUCCUGCCAUGCACCAUCUAUCAGUCAUGGAUGGAGGGAGCAGAACGUUUCCAUGCUCCCCAGAUGCACCGUCUCUCUCCACCUGCUGGAGAUGCCUUUGUAGACAGGAUGCAGUGGCACUGGCCCCAGGUGGGCCCCUUUGCCUCCUCUGAUCCUUUUUUUUUUGCUUUCUGGUCACACCGCGCGGCAUGUGGGAUCUUAGUUCCCCGACCAGGGAUCGAACCCGUGCCCCCCUGCAGUGGAAGCACAGAGUCUUAUCCACUGGACCGCCAGGGAAGUCCCAGCCUCCUCUGUCCCUUUGCCUUGGGUGGUCUCCGAGGUCCCCGGAGCUCAGGCCAUCCUGAGGCUGAUUGCCUUAGAAUGAUCUCCCAGUGACACCCAUCAAGUUGUUCUGGAAAUCUCCUUUACUCCGGUUUGGGGGGCAGAGAUGGAAAGAAAGGACGGGAACUUGAGCUUCCGGGCCCUCCAGUUCUGUGAUUCAAGGGCUCAAAGGAAAAGGAGCUUCCUAAGCGGAGUGGUCAGGCUGCCUUUGCAGUUAUGUGGGUGAUGGGGCGAUGAAAACACAGGUGCAGCCCUGGCACUGAAGAGGCAACGGUGCCUGAGGAGGGAGUUGGCCGCGCGGGGGCGCUUGUGGGCCAAGUACACUUGGGACCCUCAGCUCCCCCCGCCCCUUCCCUCUUGGCACCUCGCCUCUGUGCCUCCCGCCUGCUUCCUGCCAAACCUUGUUGGUCCCCCCACCAGCUCCCCACAAUGGCCGUGACAGCUUGUGCUGGGGCCACGUGGUGGGAUGGAAGGGGGUUUAUCUGUCCUAAACACUCGUGCCGCUGGCAUGUUUUAUGGGAUUCCAAAAGCGUGGCGAGUGGAGGGAAAUUCUUCCCUCCGGAGAGAGAGAAAAAGAAAAUGAGGAAUGAGAGAGAUGAAAAGGCUUUUUUUCUUCCCCAAAUUGGAGCCACCCUUCAGAUGAAAAUAAUGCAUCUUGUGCCCCUGCCUGUGGGGCGCGGUGUUUUCUGCAGACUGAAAAAAAACCCAGAAUGUGGAACAAAAGCUGGUCUCUGAGACCAUUAGCCCCUUGUUUAAAGUGUUUAAUUUCAAGCCUUCGACACUUUUUUUUUUUUUAAUGAAUCCGUGAGGCAACUGUGGGGAGGAAACAAGAAGCUGCCAGGUAGUGCUGUGUCUUGCUUGCUGGUCCAACUGUUCCAUCUUUUGUUAAAGCCAUAAAUGCAGUUUUCCAAGCCACUUGGCUUCUCGGAUGCUGUAUAUUUAAUUUGCCUGGAACAUUCCACAGACUGCGCGCUUUUCAACAGCAUCUCAUUAGAGCCUUGUGUGACUGCCCAUCUCUUCACGGGCAGUGCAGUGCUCAGCUUAACGGGCAGCCUUCCUGGCGGACUUUCGUCAGAGAAAAUGCGUGACUUGGGCUCAUCGGUUGACUUGUGUCCCCUCCAAAUUCAUAUGUUGAAGUCCUAACCCCUAGGACCUCAGCAUGUGACCUUAUUUGGAAGUAAGGUUGUUGCAGAUGUAAUU